rnacentral:rRNA from 1 species
CCCUUAGAUGUUCUGGGCUGCACGCGCGCUACACUGAUGCAUCCAACAAGUUUUCUCCCUUGUUCGGUAGGACUGGGUAAUCUUUUGAGUAUGCAUCGUGAUGGGGAUAGAUUAUUGCAAAUAUUAAUCUUGAACGAGGAAUUCCUAGUAAGCGCAAGUCAACAGCUUGCGUUGAUUACGUCCCUGCCCUUUGUACACACCGCCCGUCGCUACUACUGAUUGGAUGUUUAAGCGAGGUUCUCGAACUGCUAGCGACUUAGCUUCGGUGAGGUCGCAGUGUGGGAAGUGAACCUAGCUUUGGUGUCUAGAGGAAGUAAAAGUCGUAACA